rnacentral:rRNA from 1 species
ACUACGGGCGGCAGCAGUGGGGAAUAUUGGACAAUGGGCGAAAGCCUGAUCCAGCCAUGCCGCGUGUGUGAAGAAGGCCUUCGGGUUGUAAAGCACUUUCAGUGGGGAAGAAAGCCUUGGGGCUAAUACCCUCGAGGAAGGACAUCACCCACAGAAGAAGCACCGGCUAACUCCGUGCCAGCAGCCGCGGUAAUACGGAGGGUGCGAGCGUUAAUCGGAAUUACUGGGCGUAAAGCGCGCGUAGGCGGUCUGAUAAGCCGGUUGUGAAAGCCCCGGGCUCAACCUGGGAACGGCAUCCGGAACUGUCAGGCUAGAGUGCAGGAGAGGAAGGUAGAAUUCCCGGUGUAGCGGUGAAAUGCGUAGAGAUCGGGAGGAAUACCAGUGGCGAAGGCGGCCUUCUGGACUGACACCGACGCUGAGGUGCGAAAGCGUGGGUAGCAAACAGGAUUAGAUACCCCUGUAGUC